CAGGACGCACAACUCUCUUGACAUGGUGAAACAUUUAAUGACACAAACAUUUAGACAAUGGUGGCACUCACACGUAACAGUUAUGGCGAACAUAAAGACACUUGUGUAAACGAUUAACAUAUACAAUGGCUAGACACUAACCUGAAUACAAACAUACAGCUUCAAACACUAACAGGCAGACAAACAAUAACCAGCGGUGAGGCACGCACUGACGGGUUUAAAUAGACAGACACAUUAACACGUAACCCCGUGCGUGCCUUCACGGGGGUGUGGCUACAAACAUACUUAACAUCAUUUAGUCCAUCAUUCUCUGUGGUUCUCCAAACAAGAGCAAGUCAAAAAGCACAAAACAAGACGAGCAUAAACCUGUGAGGAAUGACAGCAAAAUGCUCCUUGAUGGAGCCAAACAAAUCAUCCCAGACUUGGAGAAGCUGGAUAUUGCACCAAUCUUGACCCAUUUUGUGAUGAAUCUGACUGACAAGCAGUGGAGAUCAAUCUGGAAAGCAAUCAGUAGUCCAGAAACAAAGGUCAUGAUCUCUCAUAUGUGUUCAGUCAUUGUGGACAUUGUCACUGCAGUAACUGUGAUGGGUCUUCUUCCAUCUCUGGAAGAAAUUUUAGGUGUUGAUGUAAGAUCAGUGUUGCUUUCAGAUUCCAAGAAGGAGACUGCAGAUUUGCUGAAUGCUCUCCGUAUCAGAUAUCGUGAGAGUAAUCGUUCAGUUUCAGUCCCUGUGAAGGAGGGGACAGCUCACAUAGUCUCUCUAAGCAGAGAUGUUAGGACUGCAGUUAUUGAUACACAUCGCAGUCACCUGGGUGACCAUGAGAGAGACCCAAUGUUGAUGAAAUUCUGCUCUACUUUGGAAGAUAAAUAUUCAGAAGCAAUGAGUGAGGUUUUGAUGGGACAUACUAAGAGUUUGUUAUCCUAACAUUAUCCUCAGAUGUCCAAGAUGAUGAUGAUGAUGAUGAUACAUUUAGACCUAUAAGUAAAAACAUUUGACUUAUUUCUUAUUUAGAUUGUUACAUUAUUAAUUUUUAA